UUGGUAUUGUAGUUGACAAAACAUCCAGUGAAGCGCUGAUAGUAGAACUUGUUUGUAAUUUUAGCCUCUCGUUUUUCAACGGAAUGGCACGGCGCAUGCCGUCUUGUCAGCUGUGUACAUCAACAUCACCUUUCAUGUAUCAUGUACGCAGAUCCGCGGAUAGUCCAUAUAAUUUUGUCAAGUAGUUCUUGUAUGGUUAUGUUGUAGUGAUACCGUGAUAAAAUAAUUAUUAUAAUUUGUGUUUUUGAUUAUAAAAUAAGUGUGUAGUGGUUUAGAAAAAAUAUCAGUGAGUGAUAAGUGUGGUGUUUAGUGAGUGCAAAAAUGAAUACGGUACAAAAUUUCACACUUUGGAUACCUUAAAAAUGGAUACAAAAUUUCAUACUUUGGAUACCUUAUCGGAUAACUUUCCUACAGAUGAAGAUCGUCCAUUGGCUGUGCUGAGGUCUGCUGAACUACUGGAGGAGGCGAGCUCAUGGUUUAGAGCUAACAGACUGAGUAUAAAUGGAGAGAAGAGACAACAUGUUCUGUGCUGCCUGAGACUUGGUCUGCCUCCUUUUGGUGGGCCUGAGGUUAAGCUCCUUGGAUUCUUGGUAGACUCAUCACUAACAUGGGACCAGCACAUCGAUAUGAUAUGUAACCGACUUUCCUAAGUGACAUAUCUGAUGCGGAAAUUAAGAAGUCAUGUUCCAAAGAAUUACCUUGUGACUAAGAAGUCAUGUUCCAAAGAAUUACCUUGUGACUGCAUACCACGGUAGCCAUAUCAACUAUGGUAUUGUACUUUGGGGUAAUGCAAGUGGAUGUCAGAGGAUUCUCCUUCUACAGAAGAGAGCGGUUCGCAUCAUAACAUCUUCGCCAUACUUGAAGCAUUGUCGCCCGCUGUUCAGGAGGCUGGGAAUACUCACUGUCUUCAGUCAAUAUGUGCUGAGCUCCCUUGUGCUUCUGAAAGGCCAACUUCACACACUCCAAGCAAGAGGCCAGAUCCAAACUACUCAACUAGAGGGAUAGACAACAUCGACCUUUUCUACUCUAAAUUGGUAAAGCUGCACACCUGCUAUCCAAUGCGCACAUUGAAAAUUUUCAAUAAACUUCUACUGCAGGUGCGAGAGUUGGAGGAAAAAGUGUUCAAGAAAGUGCUGCGAGAGAAACUGAUUAGAAGUGGUAACCUCCCACUCUAUUCCUUAAAUGAGGUGGAGAUUGCAAACUUUGUCAGUCUCUUUGAUCGGCCAUCUUGAGAUAACUGUAAAUAUUUGAACUUUUGAGUUUUAUAAAUCGACAAUGUCUAUCCAGUAUAUACACUGGUCUCAGACGGAAGAAAAAUUGAAUUGAAUUGAAUGUUGUCUCACCGUCUAGUUGUGGAUCUGGCCUCUUGCUUGGAGUGUGUUAAGUUGGCCUUUCAGAAGCACAAGGGUGCUUAUUAUACAGUUAGUAUUCCCAGCUUCCUGAACAGCGGGCGACAAUGCUCCAAGUAUGAUGAUGAUGUUGUGAUGCGAACCACUAAUUACGUGCAAUGUAAUGAAAGAGUAGAAUAACAUUUAGAUCUGGAAAUUUGUAAUUAAUUAUCAAUAAAUUUUUUCAUGUAUUGGUAUUAAUACGAUAUCUGUAUCUCUACUUGGGAAAGUGGAACUUCUUCAAUAAAUCAACUUUGGUUGUAAACUCUUUUUUACUUCUCUGGUCCACACCAACAUUUGGGAAUUGUGGGAGGCUCCAAAUAAUGUUCCGAACAUGCAAGUUGUCAGUAAAGUGUCGUUAAGGCAUUAUAAUUAUUUUUGAAUUAAUUUUAUUACUUUCAAAUAUAAUCCCUCUUUCCUCAUUGCUUAUUUU